UACGUAGGGGGCGAGCGUUGUCCGGAUUUAUUGGGCGUAAAGAGCUCGUAGGCGGUUCGGCAAGUCGGGUGUGAAAGCCCUGGGCUCAACCCAGGAAGUGCACUCGAAACUUCCGAGCUCGAGUCCUGGAGAGGGUGGCGGAAUUCUCGGUGUAGAGGUGAAAUUCGUAGAUAUCGAGAGGAACACCGGUGGCGAAGGCGGCUACCUGGACAGUGACUGACGCUGAGACGCGAAAGCGUGGGGAGCAAACAGG
rnacentral:rRNA from 1 species